GAGUAGUUUUACAUUGGUUUACUACUGAGUAAUGCUGGUCAUUAUGAAGAAAGUCAGGCAUAUCUGGAAAGUGCUCGUAGAUUACAAAACAAGUUUCAUGGAAGUCAAUCAAUUACUGUAGCCACAAUUCAUCAUCUUCUUGCCAACUCAUUGACUCACAUUGGAGCAUUUGCUGAAGCUAAGCAAAAUAAGAGAAAAGCAUACAAUAUCUAUAGGACUAAAUUUGGCCCAGAUCAUGCACGUACUGUUCAGUCUU
rnacentral:lncRNA from 1 species